AUGGAAAACUGCAAUUGGAUUUUUCUCUUUUUUUUAUCCUUUUUUGGUGUCAAGACCUAUUUCCCUUGUUCUUGGCCACCCGGAUUUCCGUCUGGAUGUUCGUGCGAUCGGUCUGAAAUUCACUGCUCCUGUGCUGCUUGGGAAGCCAUUAUCC
rnacentral:lncRNA from 1 species